AUAUAUAUAUAUAUAAAACUUUUCAUAUAUUAAUGGUCAUAUAGAGUACUAACUAAUUCUAGAAAAAGAGGCUUCAAUUAGCUGUCUAUACAUGGUUUUGUGUUCGAGUCUCUAUCAGUUUUCUGCAGAGAAUCACGACCAGGCCUAACAUUGAAUUUGAAGUCUCCAGGAAGAUGAUGGGGCCACACAACAACAAUUUCACAUGGACAAUAAGAAUAACACUAAGCUGACAAACAUCAACCACAGAUCAUCUUUGAACUACAAACUGCUCAGAAUAAUUUUGAGGUGGCUAGCUGAGAUGAUCCAGUUUCACAGACUACUUGAAUAAGGACUUGAGAUAAGCCCUGAACUUUGGCAUUAUGCAGAGACGGGACAACAAAUGAUAUAGCUACCUUUCCUAGAACUUGCCAAUUAACCCCAAAAUUUUCUUUUCAGAAUAAAGAGGCCUUUGCCCACAACCAGCAUGAAGCAAUUUUAAGAACAUGACACCCACAUUCCCAAAGAGACAUGUCGGCUCCUGGCAGCACCAAUCUACUUCAGAGAAGAUAUGGGCAUUGAAGAAGCUGAAUAUGGAGUUAACUUUAACUGUG